rnacentral:rRNA from 1 species
AGCUCCAAGAGCGUAUAUUAAAGUUGUUGCAGUUAAAAAGCUCGUAGUUGGAUUUCUGGUACAAUGCGCCUGGCCCGCGGCAGUAAUGCCUGUGAGUGCCGGAGCGCGUUUACCAUCCUUCUAGAAAACGUUUCUACCCUUAACUGGGCCGGACUCGCGAUCUAGAUCUUUUACUUUGAAAAAAUUAGAGUGUUCAAGGCAGGCAAUUGCUGUGAAUACAUUAGCAUGGAAUAAUAAUCUAGGACUUCGGUUCUAUUUUGUUGGUUUCUAGAAUUGAAGUAAUGAUUGAUAGGGAUAGUUGGGGGUGCUAGUAUUGGCCGGCCAGAGGUGAAAUUCUUGGAUUCGGUCAAGACUAACUUAUGCGAAAGCAUUCACCAAGGAUGUCUUCUUUAAUCAAGAA